CCCAGUAAACGGCGGCCGUAACUAUAACGGUCCUAAGGUAGCGAAAUUCCUUGUCGGGUAAGUUCCGACCCGCACGAAAGGCGUAAUGAUUUGGGCACUGUCUCAACAAUGCACCCGGUGAAAUUGAAAUACCAGUGAAGAUGCUGGUUACCUGCGCCAGGACGGAAAGACCCCAUGGAGCUUUACUCCAGCUUGAUACUGGGAUUCGAUAUUGCAUGUACAGGAUAGGUGGGAGACUGAGAACUGAUGACGCCAGUUGUCAGGGAGUCACUGUUGGGAUACCACCCUUGUAGUAUUGGAUUUCUAACCAGCAGCCGUGAACCGGCUGGGGGACAAUGUCAGGUGGGGAGUUUGACUGGGGCGGUCGCCUCCGAAAGGGUAUCGGAGGCGCUCAAAGGUUCCCUCAGAAUGGUUGGAAACCAUUCGAAGAGUGCAAAGGCAGAAGGGAGCUUGACUGCGACACCGACGGGUGGAGCAGGUACGAAAGUAGGACUUAGUGAUCCGGUGGUAUAAAGUGGGAUUGCCAUCGCUCAACGGAUAAAAGCUACCCUGGGGAUAACAGGCUUAUCACUCCCAAGAGUUCACAUCGACGGAGUGGUUUGGCACCUCGAUGUCGGCUCAUCGCAUCCUGGGGCUGAAGUAGGUCCCAAGGGUUGGGCUGUUCGCCCAUUAAAGCGGUACGCGAGCUGGGUUCAGAACGUCGUGAGACAGUUCGGUCCCUAUCCGGCGUGGGCGUAGGAUAUUUGAGAGGAGCUGCCCUUAGUACGAGAGGACCGGGGUGGACUGGCCGCUGGUGGAUCUGUUGUAUUACCAAAUGCAUAGCAGAGUAGCCAAGCCGGGACGGGAUAAACGCUGAAGGCAUCUAAGCGUGAAGCCCCCCUCAAGAUGAGAUAUCCCAUAACGUCAAGUUAGUAAGACCCCUUGAAGACGACGAGGUAGAUAGGGCAGAGGUGGAAGUGCGGUAACGCAUGGAGCUGACUGUUACUAAUAGGUCGAGGGCAUAACCAA
rnacentral:rRNA from 1 species